rnacentral:rRNA from 1 species
AUGAUUCGUGGGACGUCCUGCCGGUGGUGGCGAGUCGAAGGCGUGCUCCCGUCGUGGUUUCCACUUCGGUUCUUGUGCGCCCGAGGCGGACCCCGAUGAAAUCCUACCGCGGUGCUCUUCGCCGAGUGUCGAGGUGGGCCGGCACGUUUACUUUGAACAAAUUAGAGUGCUUAAAGCAGGCCUGUUGCGCCUGAAUACUGUGUGCAUGGAAUAAUGGAAUAGGACCUCGGUUCUAUUUUGUUGGUUUUCGGAACCCGAGGUAAUGAUUAAUAGGGACAGGCGGGGGCAUUCGUAUUGCGACGUUAGAGGUGAAAUUCUUGGAUCGUCGCAAGACGGACCGAAGCGAAAGCAUUUGCCAAGUAUGUUUUCAUUAAUCAAGAACGAAAGUUAGAGGUUCGAAGGCGAUCAGAUACCGCCCUAGUUCUAACCAUAAACGAUGCCAGCUAGCGAUCCGCCGAAGUUCCUCCGAUGACUCGGCGGGCAGCUCCCGGGAAACCAAAGCUUUUGGGUUCCGGGGGAAGUAUGGUUGCAAAGCUGAAACUUAAAGGAAUUGACGGAAGG